rfam:Propionibacterium acnes JCM 18909 DNA, contig: contig00011.
GGGAAGCCGGUGAGUAUUCCGGCGCUGUCCCGCAACCGUGACCUGGAUGUGUUAAUUCAUCUGGAAGCCGGAACACC